AACCAACCCUGUGGAAUCUUGGAAGGGAGCAUGAGAAACUUCCUGCGAGAAGCAGCAAAGUCUUACCACUGUGUUAGCACAUGAGUUGCCUCUUAAAGGAUAACUAAGUCUGCCCCAAAAUCAUAGGUGGAAAAAAGCUUCCAAGCUUGUAUAAAGACUUGCAGGCAAGGGGAAAUUGCCACAUGUGCUGAGCAAUUCGAAGUUUAGUAUGGCAGAAGCAUUGAGGAAAGUGGAAAAACAUGAUAUAGAAUGAUACCAGAGUCUAAAAUAGCUUGCCUAUCAUUCUGUGAAGCUUGGAUUUUAUUCUAUGCCCAUCAGGUAAUCAGCAGAGGUUUUCAAUCUGGAAAGUAAUAUGUUUUAUUUAUUUAUUUUUUCUUUUUAAGAAAUGAAACCUAGAGAUACUAUCUAUAAGGGUCUUGUCAGAAAACAGUUAAGAAAUACUUUCAAUAGCCCAAGUGAGAUUUUGUCUUAGUUCAGAUUGCUGUAAUGAUACAUCCUAGGCUAGGUGUCUCAUUAAAAAAAACAAAAACAAAAAAAAUAGAAAUGCAUUUCUCAUAGUCCUGGAGGCUGGGAGUCUGAGAUCAGUGUGCAACAUGGUAGGAUUCUAGUGAGGGUCCUCUUCAGGUCUCAAAUGGUCUUCUCCUUGUCUCCUCACAUGUUGGAGAGAAGAAAAGCUAGCUCUCUGGUGUCUACUCACCAAUGCCAUCCCUGAGGGCUCUACCCUCAUGAUCUUUAUCUCCUAAAAGCCCCACCUCUUAACACCAUCACUUUGGCAUUAGGGUUUCAACACAUGAAUUUGGGGAGCACACAAACAUUCAGUUUAUUGUGAUGUACUGAGCACUCUCAAUGACAGUGGUGAUAGGACAGAGGUCUUCAAAAUAGACUAAAUGGAUGACUGGGGAGGGAGUUGACAGUGUAUUUGAGGUCCUUGUAGUAGUAAGUGAUUAAAUUAAGAACACAGGGUACAGGUGAGAUUUUCAUUCAUUCAAAACCCCUUCCAUUAAGUGUCUUUCAUAUAUCAAAAGCUGUGUAGGAGCCUGAAAUAAGAUGAAAAGAAAUAAUUCCUACAAUUAAGUUGAAGCUAUACAAUAAUAAAAUUUAAUGUGCCAGUGAACAAAUGAAAUGGGUGGUUUAUAACAAAGGAAGUUAUAGUUUGUUAAGUCAAAUAAUCAAACAAGAGUUUGGAAAAUAGUAUGGAGGAGGGAGUGGACACAGUAGAUCAUUGAAACUCCAAUUCUUACAAUGCAUCCAAAGGAAUAAAAUGGCCCAGGGAACUGGGGCGAUCAUUCACAGUGCCUUUUACCUGCAUUCCAACUCCAUUCUGUCAUAAUUUAACAAUAAAACCCAUAUUUUACUUUUAUUCACUCACCCAUGUAUUCAUUCAUCUUUUCAAUAAAUGUUAUAAGCUCAUGCUAAGUACUAUGCAUACAAGAUGCAUGCAUGUGCAAAUAUGUUAGUGUGUGUCUGGGGGAAUGGCAGAGAAUGGAAGAGGACAUAGGUGAGAGGAUGAAGACUGACAUGGG
rnacentral:lncRNA from 1 species